rnacentral:rRNA from 1 species
UGGGGAAUCUUGCACAAUGGGGGAAACCCUGAUGCAGCGACGCCGCGUGAGCGAUGAAGCCCUUCGGGGUGUAAAGCUCUUUCGGCAGGGACGAUUAUGACGGUACCUGCAGAAGCAGCUGCGGCUAACUACGUGCCAGCAGCCGCGGUAAUACGUAGGCAGCAAGCGUUGUUCGGAGUUACUGGGCGUAAAGGGUGUGUAGGUGGCCCUCUAAGUUCCGUGUGAAAUCUCCCGGCUUAACCGGGAGGGUGCGCGGAAAACUGGAAGGCUAGAGUGCGGGAUGGGAGAGUAGAAUUCCUGGUGUAGCGGUGAAAUGCGUAGAUAUCAGGAGGAAUACCAGUGGUGUAGACGGCUCUCUGGACCGUAACUGACACUGAGACACGAAAGCGUGGGUAGCAAACAGGAUUAGAUACCCCCGUAGUCC